rnacentral:rRNA from 1 species
UAGGGAAUCUUCCGCAAUGGACGAAAGUCUGACGGAGCAACGCCGCGUGAGUGAAGAAGGAUUUCGGUUCGUAAAACUCUGUUGUUAGGGAAGAAAAAAUGUAUAGUAACUAUAUACAAAAGAGACGGUACCUAACCAGAAAGCCACGGCUAACUACGUGCCAGCAGCCGCGGUAAUACGUAGGUGGCAAGCGUUGUCCGGAAUUAUUGGGCGUAAAGCGCGCGCAGGUGGUUUAGAAAGUCUGAUGUGAAAGCCCACGGCUCAACCGUGGAGGGUCAUUGGAAACUAAUAAACUUGAGUGCAGGAGAGAAAGUGGAAUUCCUAGUGUAGCGGUGAAAUGCGUAGAGAUUAGGAGGAACACCGGUGGCGAAAGCGGCUUUUUGGCCUGCAACUGACACUGAGGCGCGAAAGCGUGGGGAGCAAACAGG